GAUGAACGCUGGCGGCGUGCCUAAUACAUGCAAGUCGAGCGAACAGACGAGGAGCUUGCUCCUCUGACGUUAGCGGCGGACGGGUGAGUAACACGUGGAUAACCUACCUAUAAGACUGGGAUAACUUCGGGAAACCGGAGCUAAUAUCGGAUAAUAUAUUGAACCGCAUGGUUCAAUAGUGAAAGACGGUUUUGCUGUCACUUAUAGAUGGAUCCGCGCCGCAUUAGCUAGUUGGUAAGGUAACGGCUUACCAAGGCAACGAUGCGUAGCCGACCUGAGAGGGUGAUCGGCCACACUGGAACUGAGACACGGUCCAGACUCCUACGGGAGGCAGCAGUAGGGAAUCUUCCGCAAUGGGCGGAAGCUUGACGGAGCAACGCCGCGUGAGUGAUGAAGGUCUUCGGAUCGUAAAACUCUGUUAUUAGGGAAGAACAAAUGUGUAAGUAACUAUGCACGUCUUGACGGUACCUGAUCAGAAAGCCACGGCUAACUACGUG
rnacentral:rRNA from 1 species